AAUCUGUUAAUAUUUGUUUGAUUUAAUUUUUAUUUUAAUAGAUCUAUAAUCAAUGUUAAUGGUAACUGCAUAAUUAGUUUUACAUCAUUUUAAUAAUUUCAUAAUAAAUAUCAUAAACUUUUUUGUAUAAAAACGUUAGUAAAUAAAAUAAGUAUUUAAACUUGAUUUACCUAUUUUUAAAAUGGAAUGAAACCGUCCAUGAUGCUGAAUUUGCACGUCACAGCGGGUGGCACGCGCUGCUUAUCGGCACGCGCUUGAUGACAGGAAGUAUCGCUGAAACAUCAAAGGUGACCUUGAUAUUGUCCACCGACACGGGUGACGAAUAGUAUAUCGAAGGACCAAUUAUUGGCAAUUAGGCGCCGCUAAUGAAUUAUUAUCAUUUAACUUAGAAAUCAUCAUGGAGAUCAGACGUGUGCUUGUUUUGCUGAUUUGUUCGACCUUCUGUCUUGCUUAUUUUCCACAGGAAGAGCAUCCAAAUGGUGAUACCCUGUUGAGCUGUUUUCUUUCUGCAGAAGUUGUUACAACAGACCCUGUUGAAAGUUCUUUCACUGAUUCAGAUAUGGUCCACAUGUCGUUUCUAUAUGUAGGACAUACGCACGAAGACAUUGAUGCCUCAUUCAGUAAGAUCUCAGAAAAACUUAGAACGACAGAUGCAGAAACAGUUCCCCAAUUACUGAAUCUAGUAAGAAACAUUGAAGAUUUAAGUACACUGAAACACUGGGAUGUUAAGUCAUGGCUAGAAUCUUCACUAACAAAAGUAAAAGGCGUCAGUGAACCGUUACAUUUUAAAAUUACGAAAACAUCUGGAAAAAUAAAGGUUGUUUAUAAAGGGCAACAGCAUCAGUUAUGGACUGUGUUAGAUGGCAGAGGUACUUUUCUCAGAAAUCUACCAACUUCAAAAAUAAAACAGUUAAAACCAAACUAUAAAAACAUUCUAGAAAAAAUUGAGACAGUUAAAAAACAAAUCAGUGCAAUUAGUUACAUGUUUGAAAGCAGUGAAAAUCAUCUUUAGUGGAAAGCAUUUUUGGAGAAAAAAAAUACAGUGAUGCCAAUGAGAACAAAAGAGGACAUUAUAUGGAUUACCCAACUACCAAAACAGCAAAAAAAACAACAAAGAAACAUUAAAGACAACCUGGAUCCAAUACUUAGAAAGAUGUUGGAAAAGGAAACACUAAAAGUAGACCUGUGUUAUCCUGUGAAAAAAGACGAAAUUUAAAAACUAGCCGUGGGAAGCAGAAGUCGAAAAAAACAGAGCGUAUCCACGGAGGAAGAAGUGGUGUUAACCGUCAAAGCACUGUAGUACAGGUCAAUAGAAAAAAAACUAAAUCAACAACACCAGCAGUGCCAAAGAGAAACAGACAAACAGGAAGGCGAAUCAUGAGAUGGAAUAGCUCAAGAUGGAUCACCAUACUCACCGAUGAUGAGAAGAAAAGACACAUAGGGUUGAUAAUCAUCUUCGAACUUCUGGGACAUUUACUACUGUACAUUAUCUAUGUUUUAAUAAUGACCAGAUGUAUCAAAGAACUUUUUGUUAUGAUGGACAGAGUUUGGAAAGCUAUUUUGUUAGCACACUUGGGUCAAUUUCUGUGUGUUCUUACAGUAAACACAUACUUGGAACACUUUUGUUUUGUGUUUUGUAAUGUUAAAAAGUCAUUUCCGUGCAGUUUAUUGGUUUCGUAUCCUUCCAGGCAUUCACUUAGUAUUACGCAAUAAACAGAUCA